rnacentral:rRNA from 1 species
CACGUAGUUGGCCGGAGCUUCUUCUGCAGGUACCGUCAAUUUCGUCCCUGCUGAAAGCGGUUUACAACCCGAAGGCCGUCUUCCCGCACGCGGCGUUGCUGCGUCAGGCUUUCGCCCAUUGCGCAAGAUUCCCCACUGCUGCCUCCCGUAGGAGUCUGGGCCGUGUCUCAGCCCCAGUGUGGCUGAUCUUCCUCUCAGAACAGCUACCCGUCGUCGCCUUGGUGAGCCGUUACCUCACCAACAAGCUGAUAGGCCGCGAGACCCUCCCGAAGCCGGAAUCCAUUUCUCACGUCGCCAUGCGACAUCGUGAAGGUAUCCGGUGUUAGCUCACCUUUCGGUGAGUUAUCCCCGGUCGUCCGGGGCAGGUUCCCUCACGGUUGUUACGUCCACCCGUUCGCCACUUACGGUCUUCCACCUACCCUUGCGGGUGAUGGACCUUCGUCG